CGGAAGUGCACCAAAAGACCGUUGGCGAUCUGAGGAGUUAGAAGAGGGACUCAGAACCCUGAGGGAAGGGCACCAAGAGAGCUAGAAACCUGAAGGAGAGGUGCCAACAGAGAACUGGCCCCAAGACAAAGUUAGAGCCCUGAGGCGAAUCACUGCGAUGAUGUGAGUGAAGGAAUGACGCUCCAGAGAGCUUGAAGCCUGAAGGAAGGAGUGAAGAAUUUAUGUGCUAUUUGUGUGCAUUCACAAACACCUUCUUAUGCCCUCAAGAGAAAACCUGUUCUAACAACCAGAGACGCUGUGCAGUAAUUGCCAUACGUAAGUAUC